rnacentral:rRNA from 1 species
GAUGAACGCUGGCGGCGUGCCUAAUACAUGCAAGUCGAGCGAAUGGAUUAAGAGCUUGCUCUUAUGAAGUUAGCGGCGGACAGGUGAGUAACACGUGGGUAACCUGCCCAUAAGACUGGGAUAACUCCGGGAAACCGGGGCUAAUACCGGAUAACAUUUUGAACCGCAUGGUUCGAAAUUGAAAGGCGGCUUCGGCUGUCACUUAUGGAUGGACCCGCGUCGCAUUAGCUAGUUGGUGAGGUAACGGCUCACCAAGGCAACGAUGCGUAGCCGACCUGGGAGGGUGACCGGCCACACUGGGACUGAGACACGGCCCAGACUCCUACGGGAGGCAGCAGUAGGGAAUCUUCCGCAAUGGACGAAAGUCUGACGGAGCAACGCCGCGUGAGUGAUGAAGGCUUUCGGGUCGUAAAACUCUGUUGUUAGGGAAGGACAAGUGCUAGUUGAAUAAGCUGGCACCUUGACGGUACCUAACCAGAAAGCCACGGCUAACUACGUGCCAGCCGCCGCGGUAA